GGUUAAAACGCUCGUAGUUGUAUAUUUGUCGAGGACCGCCGGUCUACCCCAGCGGUCAGCACGCGGUUUGUUCUCGGCACCUUCCUGGAGAGAGUGUUUGCACUUCAUUGUGUGGCGCAUAACCCAGAACGUUUACUUUGAGGAAACGAGAGUGUUUCAAGCAGGCGCCUGUCGUGAAUACGUUAGCAUGGAAUAAUAGCAUGGGACCGUGGUCUGAAGCUGUUGGUUUUUGGAUCGCAGUAACGAAAAUAUGGAUAGUGGGGGGUAUUCGUAUUUGACUGUCAGAGGUGAAAUUCUUGGAUUUUUUAAAGACGGACUACUGCGAAAGCAUCUUCCCAGGAUGUUUUUAUUGAUCAAGAACGAAAGUUAGGGGAUCGAAGACGAUCAGAUACCGUCCUAGUCUUAACCUUAAACCAUGCCGACUAGAGAUUGGGUCG
rnacentral:rRNA from 1 species